rnacentral:tRNA from 1 species
GUGUGCGUAGUUUAAAAUUAAAAUGUCAAGCUGUGACCCUGAUAAUAGGAAUUAUUCCUCACACAC